UCUCUUCCGCUAACCGCCAUGGCCCUAUAAACCCCGUCUCCCGUGAUCGUUCGCUGGGCCACCGACCUGCCGCUCCCCCUUCUUGUCUUCUCUGCGGCGUAUGGGAGGCGGAGGCAGAAGGCGUCAUCUCUUGUCCGUUCCGGCUUCUGGUUUUGAUGGGGAAGGCGUCUUCUCUUCUCCGUUCCGGCUUCUGAUCGAAGAAAGCGUCAUCAUCCCUACUCCGGCGACUUUGAUCGGAGGCGAGGAUUCCAUUCUUGGCCAGCCAAUCCUAUAAUCUCUUUUCCUUGGGAAUGGAAGCCGAUUUUGUGAAGGGGAAGAAACCACCUGGACAGAAGGUGUGGAUUCUUAUGUCAAGUCGGUUCUUGGACUCUGUUGGGUGCUUCUUGGGGCGUUUUGGAGCUUUUAUAGUGAAUCCCACUAUGGGAAGUGGCCUGAUCAGCUUACUUGGGGCAACAGCACACUGAAUAAAGCCUCUUGGAAAGAGUUACACUUUAUGGUGUCACCCUCAGGUAACGACUUUAAAUGGAUUUGGCAUUUACAAGUUCCUAUGAGGGUCCAAACAUUUUGGUGGAAAAUAAUGUUGUGGCAAAAGUUUCCUUGAAAGCUGCAUUACAUGGUUGGGAUAUCAUUCCAAUUCACUCACAAUUCUGGGAUUUAUGCCCAUCUACCAAUGACGAUUGUGAACAUGUUAUCAUUACUUGUGCAUUUGCUCAGCAGUGUUGGCAGGAAUUAAAUCAUGAGAGCAGCCUGGACUUUAUACCUUCCUCUUUGCCACCUCUUGUGGAACUUGUUUUCCAAGCCAUGGUAGAGAGGAGGUGUAAGGCCCUGGUUGCCUAUGCUUCUUGGCUAUUUUGGUCUGCUUGGAAUGAAAGAUUAUUUCAAGCUUCAGUUAUCUCACCUACAAGUUGUUGCAAGGAAAGCAUGUUACUGUCAUUCUGAAAUGGUGGAUAAACCAUGAUUUAUAAUGUUUCAAAAUACUCCCAGAUCAUUAGCAUCAGCUCUCAUUACGUUCGCUUGGCCAAUCUCUCAUUUGCGAAACUUGACAUCAUCAAAGCGCUCCAAGAUAAAGGCAACAGAUAUGGAGACUCCUGCAUUGACUCUUUUAAGAGAUGAAAGCAAUUGGUCAUGGAUGACUAUUUAAGCUUGGGUCAUAAUACCGCGUAUCUUCUUGUGGUAGGCUGCAAAUCAUCUGGCAGCAAAGUCCUUCGGAACUGUUAGUCUCGCUGGCGGUUUGUCGCUGGUCUCUCUGACGACAUGUCGCUGAUCUCACUGGCGACAUAAAUUCUCAGGACAAAUCAUUUGCCAACGUAUAUGCCUCCAUUGACGGGGUCCUUUACAUAGCCAGGUCUAGGUUUGGUGAGCACAUAACGUCAACCACUUCUUCUCAUGAAUCAAGUUCAAGCAUUCCACUAUGAAUAGCUCGCAGAGAUGGUGAUAGGCAUGUUGGUGGUGAACUACAAGAUCAUCUUGAUACUGAUUGGUGCAUACUUUUGAGUGAUAGGAACAUUGUGAAUUUACAUAUUUUGGCAUGGUAGAAAAAUCAAGAAUGAGCAAUGCUAGUUAUUUUGGCAUUGUGAAUUAGACGGUCUACAAGUAGAUUUGAAGUAAAAUAUUCUUCCAUCACUUUUUAUUAUUCUAGGGUUUCAUUUUAUGAUAUCUAUGCUAUCUAUUUCUAGGGUUUUGGGCCU